rnacentral:rRNA from 1 species
UACUCCUACCCGGGAGGCAGCAGUAGGGAAUCUUCCGCAAUGGACGAAAGUCUGACGGAGCAACGCCGCGUGAGUGAUGAAGGUUUUCGGAUCGUAAAGCUCUGUUGUUAGGGAAGAACAAGUACCGUUCGAAUAGGGCGGUACCUUGACGGUACCUAACCAGAAAGCCACGGCUAACUACGUGCCAGCAGCCGCGGUAAUACGUAGGUGGCAAGCGUUGUCCGGAAUUAUUGGGCGUAAAGGGCUCGCAGGCGGUUUCUUAAGUCUGAUGUGAAAGCCCCCGGCUCAACCGGGGAGGGUCAUUGGAAACUGGGGAACUUGAGUGCAGAAGAGGAGAGUGGAAUUCCACGUGUAGCGGUGAAAUGCGUAGAGAUGUGGAGGAACACCAGUGGCGAAGGCGACUCUCUGGUCUGUAACUGACGCU